rnacentral:tRNA from 1 species
GGUUAGAGCGCACGCCUGAUAAGCGUGAGGUCGGUGGUUCGAGUCCACUCGUGCCCA